UUGAUACCCCACUAUGCUUAGCCCUAAACCUAGAUAUUUAUAUACAAAAAUAUCCGCCAGAGAAUUACGAGCAAAACGCUUAAAACUCUAAGGACUUGGCGGUGCCUCAAACCCACCUAGAGGAGCCUGUUCUAUAAUCGAUAACCCACGAUCUACCUCACCAUCUCUUGCCAACCAGCCUAUAUACCACCGUCGCCAGCUUACCCCGUGAGGAUACAAAAGUAAGCAAGAUAAUAUAAACCAUUAACAAGUCAGGUCAAGGUGUAGCUAACUGAGAUGGAAGAAAUGGGCUACAUUUUCUAUACUAGAAAUAACACUCACGGAAAGGAACCAUGAAACUAGUCCAGCAAGUAGGAUUUAGCAGUAAACUGGGAACAGAGAGCCCAAUUUAAACCGGUCCUGAGGUGCGCACACACCGCCG
rnacentral:rRNA from 1 species